rnacentral:tRNA from 1 species
GGCGGCAUAGCCAAGUGGUAAGGCAGAGGUCUGCAAAACCUCCAUACUCCAGUUCGAAUCUGGAUGCCGCCUCCA